GGGCAUAAACCUAAAUUUGAGUUCCUCUCCUCGCAUUAUCUCUUAUCAAAAGAUUAAACAUGUAGUUUCAGGUUCCUAAGAUACUUGCAAUUAUGGAAGUAGAAACCAUGUUGGUAAACCUAUGAUGUGUCCUUAACUUUUGAUUCUAAGGACCUGUUUUACCAGGAAGGAACUAAACAUUUCUUCUUUUUUUAUGGGUUCUAGAUGUUUGCUAUUGAUUUACCAUAUCAACACUACAUAGCAUAAUUUAUGAUAUCUGAACUUUAUUCUGCAUUGAUCUAUUGCUUAUGAGGUAUUCGUGUCUGAAAUAUAUAUGUUAAAGCAAUUACAUGUCUAGAAAAUUUCUUUGGUCAGAUUGAUGCACAUUUCCACUAAACAUGUCCUGGAUUUUGUUCUGGUUUCCUUUUUCUCAAGCUUUGUUGCAGCUGCCAUGGCAAUUACGCAAGACCAUUCAACUAGUAAUUCAGGUAACCCCGUUGCAACAGUUGUGGUAAUUGAGGUGUUUGCCUCAUAUAUUAAAUUAUGUUUUCUGCUCUUCACACAUGCUGAGAUAUGAAUUUAAGCUGGUCUAAUAAGGCUAAGCGCAUCUUGAAACUAUUAAGCCUUAUCUUCACUGAAAUCUAGUGGAGACUUUUCAUCAAAACUAAUUUUACCAAACUAAUAGAAUUCUCGUCCUAGUUGACAUUAUUUUGGAUUUUUUUUCCCUUUUUUCUUUCCUGAUUUCUUAUUUUCAUCUGUUGUCCUUCGUUGCAUGUUAAUCAUAUGUUCUUUCCCUUCUGCACCUCCCCUAUUCAGCCUGAUCCAAUCAUCCUGUCACCAUAAAGAUUUAAGAUAAACCAAAUGUGAGCAAAAACAUCUUUACCUUUUCUUUUAUUUUUAAAAAUUUUUCUUCCUAAAAAGUUACAAGGAUUAUUGAACUAAACAGAUUAUUGGUCAAACUUUUACAUAUUUCUUCUUAGUUGGUAGGUUUUUCUUUUUUUUUUUUGAAAAAAAAAUAUUACAUAUAGUUUUUUUACUGAUUGAUGAUCAAUCAAUAUUGCCUCUUUAAUGGUUGAAAUUUGCAGUGGGUUACAUAUUUAUCUUUUUGUUCAUGUUCUUUCCUAAUUCGUUAAUUUCUUUGAAAAUAUAUAAUGACUGCAUAUUUUUAGGAUGUAUUACUCUAUAUUUAUGUGAUUUAUUAAUUCGUAUUUUUAUAAUUUUUUACUAUUUAUUUUUAGGAGUGUUUGUUGAUUGUAUAGUAAUUCGAAAGUAUGUAUUUUAUUACAAAAGAAAAAUAAUAUUAACAGAAAAUAAAUAAGAAUUAAUUAAAAAUGUUAUGCAAAUUUAAAUUUUAAAUCAAUGUAAAAAUAUUUGUUUUAUAGGUUUAUUAUUUUAUUUUAUGUAUAUAAGAUAACAAUAUUAGCUAAAAUAAUAUAUUUUAUUAUAAAAAUAGAAUAAUAUUGUCAGAGAACAAGUAUUAUUAAAUAGGAAAAUAUUAGUUAAUUUAUCGUAUAUAGAAUUAUAAAUAUAUUUUAAUUUAUAUAAUAAAAUUUUUAAGAUAAAUAUUGAUAUUUAAUAAGUAUUGUAAUAUUUAAAACAUUUUUAAAAAAUUUGUAGGUAAAUUAAAAUUAAAUUUUAUUUUCAAAUUUAAAAUGUUUAAAUAGGAAAUUUUUAUAAAAAUUAAAAUAUGGUAUUUAUUUUUAAUAAAAUAUUAAUACAUUAAUAUUAUUUUUAUAUUUAAAAUUUUUAAGAAUUUAAAAAUUAUUUUAUAUGUAUUAAUUUUAAGGUUAGUUAAUAAAAUAAAAUAAUAAGAAUAAUAUAAAUAGUUUAUAUCAUAUAUAUUGUACGAGACAGUUUUUAUUUUUUUUUUACGCUGUUUACAGUUUUUUUUUUAACGCUAAAAAAGACUUUAAAAGAGCUGGUUUACAAAAUCCGACCGAGCUCAUCCUCAAACCCGUUUCUGCAUAUGAUAUUCAGAGGCGGUGGACUAAUGAACCCUAAAACUUCAAAUUGAGAAAGUUGUUCAAUCCCAGGUACAUGAAUUUUGUCAACUGAAGCGGAUGACCGCUAUUCUUUUAACGCUGCUGCUAUAUAUUUUCCUUCGUGUUAUUGCUGUUUUGUUUUGAUUUCUGUCAUAUAUUUUCUUGAUCAAGACCCCACAGUAUUUGAGUAUUUUUUUUUCUUUCCCCUUAUUGGAGUUUUUAUUAUUUUGUUUUUUUGUUUUUUUUUGUAUUACAGAUAUGAAAUUGUUAGUUUAAAUUAUGAUGUUAUAUGAUAUAUUUUAUUAUAAAAAUAUUAUUAUUAUUGAGUGAAAAUAAAUUAAAAUGAAAUAAUUAUUAAAAAUAAAUGCUAUAAAAAUUUUAAAAUUGAAUAUUAAUAAAUAAGAAAAUAUUAGUUUUUAUUAGUUAAUUAUCUUAUUUUAUGUGUAUAAAUAAUUAUUUUUUUUUAACCUUUGAUGGUUAUCAUAUUUUCGUAUUCGUGAUUAACUUUAUCAAAUCUCUUUGCUCUUCUCCCAUUCUUUCUCUUUCUCGACCUUCUUUACUGAUACAUGUUGAGGGUACUUUUGCUGAAAAUUUCAAGUUUUCUAACUUCUCUCCUCCUCCUCUUCCUCUUUUCUCUCCUCUAAGAUUUAUUUUUUCAUCUCCUCUUUUGUUAAUCUUUUCUUAUUAGUUAUUUUAACAGGCAAUUUCCAAUGGAAGUCAAGACUGGGAAGAACAAAAUAUUUUGACGGUAUCUGUUUAUGCCUUAUUCUUCAUCACCAAGUUGUUUUGAAUUUUUAAUGCAACCUUAUUAACUAAUAUUGUAGGUUUUUUUUUUGCAAAUUUAUUAUUGAAAGUAGUUGCUACAAAUGUUUUAAUAGUUGGCAUUGAACCAAUAUUAAUAAAAGAAUCAAGAUACUAACCCUUAGAAUCAGUCAAGAAGCUUCUCAACGAGAACUAUACCUGCUUUGAGCUUAUCUUACUAGUAACUUUUUUAAACUCAAAUGUACGUGAGUACUCGUGCAUAACCAUCUUAACCAAGUCGAUCUUAUAUUCUUUUUGUAUUGUAUGUAUAAAUUUGAAGUUUUCAAUGUUACAAAACAGUAUUCUUCGCAAAUUCUAUACGCUAAAGAUGAUUGUGAAAUGGUAAAAUUAGUUUAUAGGUUAGUGGAUGAUGAAUUCUGUCAAACGGAUUGCUUGAAGGAGUCUCAUACUUUUCUCAUUUUAUUUGUGAUGUGUUAUUAUGUAAUUCUUUUAUUUUAGUUACAGAUAAAUAUUUUCUCAAGAGGUUUACCGUUUUAUGAUGUUGUUUUUGCAAGAGUUUUCUGCAAAAGUUCAAGAAGAAAUUAUGAUGAAAUGUAUUUUUUUUUAAUUGUUUUAGCUUAAAGUUGAUGUUUAAUAUCUACUUAAUACUGUUAAAAAAUUGUAUUUUUGCAUAUAUACUCUUUUCUUAAUAGACGUAGGUGAUGAAUUUGAUAUCUCAAUGGUGACAAAAACCAAGAUGAUCAAAGGGGUUUGAUUAAGAUCUAAUUGAAGGUAUGUGUGUCUUUUAUAUGAAAUUGUUUUUUUCUUUUCAUCUUUCUCUCAAGUUUUUUUCGGUCCUAAUAGGUGCUAUUAGGCUGUAAAUAAUCUCUAUAAAUGUGAAUAUUAUAAAUAGAUAAAUAAUAUUUUUUAAAAUAUUUUGAUAACAACUUUUGAUAUAAUUAGAUAAUAACUAUUUUUUCUCAAGUUAUGAUUAAAAAAUUUAUAUUAAUGUUAAGAUUUCUCAUACAUAAGUUUUUCUUAUAAAACUUUAAAUUCUCUAUGAAUUUUUACUUUAGUUUUGAUAAUAUUUAUUUUUGCACAACUCUAAAUAAAUUACAAGAAUAAAAAUUAUCAAGAAAGAAAAGUUUAUUAAUAAUAGCAAUAGAUAUAGGCGUUAGUAUAUUCAUGAAAAUAGUUUAUAUGUUUCUUGGAUCUAGUCUGAUUUGUUAAAAUUUUUCAUCCUCCUUAUAUAAUCUAUCAUGUCCGCAUUGGUAUAAAUUAUAUUACUCUACCCGAUUUUAGAUUUUUCAUUUGAUAAUUUUGUUCACAUGCGCUGAUGUUGGAAUCAGGUUUCAGGUGUUCUGCAUGCCAAGUCUGAUUUGUUAAUAUUUUCUAUCUCAUUAUUUAAUCAUCAUAUCCGCGUUGGUAGAAGUUAUGUUACUCUGCCCAAUUUUAGUUUGUAUCAUUUUGAUAAUUUUAACUCGGUUUGGCCCAGAUCAUUUUGGUUGUUCAUUCUUCGAUGUUGCUUUAGAUGUACAAACUCUAGUUUUCUGUUUAUUUUACAAGAAACUCAUGGAAAAACAAUUGCCCAUAUUGUGCUAUGUUAUAUUCUUCUCAUGAUGGUGGCAGCCUGCAGAUGUUCUGCAGUGGUCUUUCUGAAGAACAGGGCAUUUAAUUUAUUAAAGUAUCAUUAGUUAUGUCAUAAGGUAGAAAUUGUACUUCUCGCUUGUUUGAUCUGAAAAGGAUGUGAAUCAUACCAUUUUAUGUUUUAGGAAAUGUGCAGAAAUUGAAAAGUUGUAACUUGUGACCACUUGGUUUUCUACUUUGUUUCUCUGCUGUUAUAAAGUUGCAAAUGGUCUUGAAGCACACUUGAGAUACUCAUAGCUACAUCUUCUUAAAGCCCAUAUUUGGUUGUCUAGAUGUUUUUCCCCCAGGUAGUAUUGAAAAGAUGAUGGGCACAAUUCUCUAGCUCUGAUGCUAUUUAUUCAGUUUAGUAUGUGUAUUGUGUUGAUUUGGUUUGCCAAUUUUUUCUCUUUCCUGGACGGCACUGUCAUUAGGUAACUUAUUAUAUUUUUUCUUUGUUCCCUUGACCUUAAUCUACAUGCUUGAUUAAUGGCUGCACCAUUUUGUUCAAGUUAUUGUGAAAAAUAUUAAAAUUAUGCCUUGUUAAUUUAAUUGCAUGUUUCCCAGGAUAUUCCUUCCUUAGCUGCUGAUGCUGCAAAAAAGUAUCCCGGUGUAUCAUACAUCAUAACGGCUCCUCUUGGCUUGCACAAGCUCCUUGUGGUAUGAGAUUUUUCUUAUUUUUCUCUCAUGGUAUUUACAUUAAUCCUGCAAGACUUUUGGAGUCAUCACUGUACUUUCAACUUGUGCUUAGCUUUAUUUUUAGCUCUCCUUACCUGAUUGAUAUGUAGAUUAUUCACGAGUACAUGGGAUAUGACAAUACUAUUCAGUUAAUGCUAUUAAAUCAAAUUUUACCCCAUAUAUAUAUAUAUUAUAUAUAUAGGCACUAAAAUUCAUGCCCAGUUAACAGCAUUCUUAACAAAUGUACAAAAGUUUCCGAUUGACUGCAUUCUUAAUUUAAUUAAAACUAAAAUGAAAACUUUCAUCCUUAUUAUUAUUUAUUUUUACCAGCUUCCAAAAAUAUAUCACUCUUUUGCAGUGUUGUUCGCUGGUUUGAUCAAAUAGUUGUGAUCAAAAUUUUUAGUCUAGUUAUAACUACUUUUAAUUGAGAAUGCAAUCAGUUAGGAACUUAUAAACUUUCUUAUUAGGAGUGCAUAUUCCAAUUUCAAGAACACCAUCAAGUAGUAUUUCUAGGUAAUCAGACCUGUGAUUUUAUGAGAUAGACCUUGUCCUACUCGCACGUUGGACUAUGGCUUAUUUUAUCUUUUAAGAGCUCGAGAGAUCAGAAUGUGUCUGAUACCCAUAUGGCUCAUUAAGCAACAGAAGUUUCUGAUUCUCAAGGGAUAGAAUUUGUGAUGCCCUCUAUUUCCCAUUAGUAGUGUGCUAGGAUAGGCUAAAACGAGAUCAAGAAACAGAAGCAGCCAAUAUUUUUUGAGUAACACGGCAUUGAGCGACGCUACUCUGGCCAUGCUAAUUAGUUUUAUGUUUUGCAUUGAUCAUGUCCAUUUGUAAAUAAUUUCUCCAUUUUCUCACUCUCUACAGUUUUAGGUUGCAAGGUUAGUAAUGUGAUAAUUAGUUUCCUCAUUCUUUAUGGGUUUUGAACUGGUUUUUGAAAGUUUGCGUUUAACAGUUCUGUGUAAUUAGAGCAAUUAUUUGUUUUAAUUAUGUUUAAUGGGAUGAUCAAUAUUGUUGCAAGCAGAUCAGAUUCUCUUAUUGUAUUAUCGUUUCGAUAUUAGUUAAUUUGCUGAGUGACAUUCAUGGGACUUCUGUCGAUAAAACUUGAUCAUUUUUCUCAUCCUGGAAGUAUUAUAAUUUUCGUUCAAUUAGCAUAUAGUUUGCUUGCUGGAGAGGUAUGCAAUAUUUAUCUUUUGUGAGAAAGGUUGUCGUUCUUUAUUUUGAAGCCACAUCAGGAAAGUAGAUUUGAUUUUGUUCGUCGGUAAAAUUGCCUUAAUUUAUUUUCUUGCAAGUGAGAGGAAAUUGAUUUGAAAAAUGAUGCAGAGGAGGAGUUCGUGGUUUGUGGGAAGGCCUGUUGUUGGAGACUGGAACUGUCCUUUUUGCUGAGGUUCUUGGCAGAACCCUAACCGGUGAAACUGUACAGAUGCAUGGUGGAGCAGACAACUUGUCUGUGUGGAUUUGCCAGAGAAGGAAUAGAAAUUGAAAGGAAAUUUGGUGGUGCAAAAAAUCUGUAAGUAUUAUUUCUAAGGAUUAAGAGAAUAAAUAAUUUAAAAUUAGAUAACAGUUUAAAGAAUUUUAAUAGAAUAUAUUUGUACAUAUAAAUUUUUUUUAAUAAUACGCGUAUUAUUUAAUAAAUUUUUUAGAAAAAAGAAUUAUUAAAAAUUGUAUUGUAAUUAAGGGUGUUUGUUUUGUUGUGGUUUUUUAUUAUAAUAUUUGUAUUUAAAAAAAAUAUUUUUGUAGUUGGGUGAGUAAAAUAUAAAAUGUUUUUGAUAAUAGUUAAAUUGAAAAUUUAUUUUUUUAUAAAUUUAAAAUAAAAAAUUACAAAAGUUACAUGAAUUUUUAUUAAGAAUAAAUGUUAUUAUUAUUGUAUAAAUAAUAACAUAUUUUCACAAUUAUUUAUAAAAUUAUUUUUAAUGGAAAACUCAGUAAGGCAGUAAAAAAAAUAUUUAUCUUUUUAAUUUUCUCUCUCUGCCGCUCCUCAUCUUCGGUCUCUGGGUUUCCUUUUUUCUGCCCCUGAGGUUCCGCGUGUUUAUAAAGCACAGAGGUUGCGUCACGGAGACGCACCUCAGCUCCUCUAUAAAAGGGCUGAGACUCUCUUUCCUCCUUACGCAUCUGCUGUCUCCUGAUCCGGUAAGGUUUUCUUCUGAUUGCCCAUUAGAUCUGGUCCCGCUCCGAUCUUCUAGAGAUUGGAGGCGGUCUUCAUUCUCUCUGAACGGAAGAGUGCAUAAAAUAGGGCUCUUCUGCUUCCGAGUCUUCUCUCUUGUGGCGAUUUAGAGGUUGCGUCACGGAGACGCAGCUCAGCUCCUCUAUAAAAGCGCUGAGACUCUCUUCCCUCCUUCCGCCUCUGCCGUCUCCUGAUCCGGUAAGGUUUUGUUUUCGAUUGCCCAUUAGAUCUGGUCCCGCUCCGAUCUUCUAGAGAUUGGAGGCGGUCUUCAUUCUCUCUGAACAGAAGAGUGCAGAAAAUAGGGCUCUUCUACUUCUGAGUCUUCUCUUUCGCGGCGAUUUAGAGGUUGCGUCGCGGAGAGGCAGCUCAGCUCCUCUAUAAAAGCGCUGAGACUCUCUUUCCUCCUUCCGCCUCUUCUGUCUCCUGAUCCGGUAAGGUUUUCUUUCGAUUGCCCAUUAGAUCUGGUCCCGCUCCGAUCUUCUAGAGAUUGGAGGCGGUCUUCGUUCUCUCUGAAGGGAAGAGUGCAGAAAAUGGGGCUCUUCUACUUCCGAGUCUUCUCUCUUGCGGCGAUUUAGAGGUUGCGUCACGGAGACGCAGCUCAGCUCCUCUAUAAAAGCGCUGAGACUCUCUUUCCUCCUUCCGCCUCUGCCGUAUCCUGAUCCGGUAAGGUUUUCUUUUUGAUUGCCCAUCGGAUCUGGUCCCGCUCCGAUCUUCUAGAGAUUGAGGCGGUCUUCAUUCUCUCUGAACGGAAGAGUGCAGAAAAAGGGGCUCUUCUACUUCUGAGUCUUCUCUCUUGUGGCGAUUUAAAGGUUGCGUCACGGAGACGCACCUCAGCUCCUCUAUAAAAGCGCUGAGACUCUCUUUCCUCCUUCCGCCUCUGCCGUCUCCUGAUCCGGCCGAAAAUGCUAAAUUACCCUCAUCCUGCUGUAUAAUUGUCUCAGGAUUGCUCUGUUGGGCUCUUAUAAAGCAAUGGAUCCAAAUGUUGCACGAGCUGUUGAGUAAUUUCCAACUGGUUUUGGUGAUUUGCUUUUAUUAGUUGAGAUAAAAAAAUAAAACGAAUUAUUAAUUAUUAAUUUGGUUUCGGCAUUUAUAAAAAAAAAAAGUUUGUAUUUGAAAAAUAUUUUUGUAGUUAGACGAGCAAAGAAGAAAAAUGUUUUUGAUAAUAGUUAAAUUCAAAAUUUAAAAUAAAAAAUCACACUCAAUACAUCUUGGUGCUGGAUUCAAAUAUUUUCUUUCGAAAAAAGAAACUUACGUACGUGUAUUAAUAUCGGUGCCUGUGCGCAUUUACAAAAUUUUUACGAGUCUGCUAGAUUCAAAUAAUGUAUCGUUCUUGUUUCUCUCACGCUUUUUGGUUGUAUUUGAGCAAUAAUUUGUCAGAGGCAGCAAGCCAGAUCUGGAAAUAUGGCAAGUUUUUAGAAAUUGGUGCUGCGCGUUUAAUCAUCUUUAACCAACAAGAUCUUAUGCUGGUUUUCAGGUAAUUCUCUUUUGUUUCGCUCCCUUUCAAUCUUCUUUAAGAUCUCAGAAUGGAAGUCCCCAGCUUCCUAUCUCUUAGUCUCCUCUUAAACCUGAAGGUCAUUAUUUUUGGCCCGUCCAACAGUUAUGUUGCAGUCAAGAGAAAGGUUUCCAGGAUAUGCUUGAGAUGCUUGCCUCGUACAAGGAGGGGGUGUGUACCAUGUGGGAACCGUGUUCCCAUAAUCUUGAUUCUGUCCGGUUCCAUCCAAAGUGCAUAAAGAAACCUAGUUCCCACGCUGGAAACUGAUAACAGUGCUCGGUAUUUUAUGUUUAUUACCAGUUAUUGUUAAUUUAUUGCGCGACUUUCAUGGGAGUUGUAUCAAUAUGUCUUGAUCCCUUUUCUUGUUCUUUGAUUUACCGGGACCAUAUUCUGAAAAUAUUGUAAUCGUCGCUCGGUAAGGGUAUGGAUUGCUGGUUCAAGAGGUUUGCAAUAUCUAUUUACACUCGUAUCACUUGGUGCUGGAUUCAUAUGUUUUUCUUCUGUAUUAAAAAGUUACGUAUGUGUAUUAAUAUUGGUACCGAGGGGGCACUGCGCACUUACAAAAUUUUUACAAGUCCGCUGGAUUAAAAUAAUGUGACGUGCUUUGUUCCUCUCGGCGCUUUUUGCUUGUAUUUGAGCAAUCAUUUGUUAGAGGCAGCCAGGCCAGAUCUGAAAAUAUGGCAAGUUUUUAGAAAUUGAUGCUGCGCCUUUUAGUUGCCAACACGUUCUUAUGUUGGUUUUCAGGUAAUUCUCUUUUGUUUCACUCCCUUUUAUUCGUCUUUAAGAUCUCGGAAUGGAAGUCCUCAGCUUCCUUGUCCCCCGCAUCUUUGAGUCUCAUCUUAAAGCUGAAGGUCAUUAUUUUUGGCCUGUCCAGCAGUUUUGUUGUGGUUGAGAGAAAGGUUUAAAGGAUGCAUGAGAUGCUUGCCUCGUACAAGGGUGUCUAUUAUGUGGGAACCGUGUUCCCAAAAUCUUGAUUCCGUCUGGUCCAUAGUCCCUGCAAAGUCAUUCCAUCCAAAGUGCAUAAAGAAACAUAGUUCCCACGUUGGAAACUAAUAGUGUUGUUCCUUUCGACUUUUGUUACCAGUUUAUUUUUUGUUUGAUGUUCGCGGGAGUUGUAUCAGUAUGUCUUGAUCCCUUUUCUUGUUUUUUGAUUUACAGGGACCAUAUUCUGACAAUAUUAUAACGCUCGCUCGGUAAGGGUGUGGAUUGCUGGUUCGAGAGGUACGCGACAUCUCUAUUUACACUCGUAUCACUUGGUGCUGGAUUCAAAUAUUUCUCUUUGGAAGUAAAAGUUACGUAUUUUUUUAAUGUUGGUACCAAAGGGGUACUGCUGCGCAUUACAAAAAUUUCUACAAGUCUGCUAGAUUCAAAUAAUAUUUCUCUCACGCUUUUUGGUUGUAUUUGAGCAAUAAUUUGUCAGAGGCGGCAGGCCAGAUCGGGAAAUAUGGCAACUUUUUAGAAAUUGAUGCUGCGCGUUUACUUUACCAACAAGUUCUUAUGUUGGUUUUCAGGUAAUUCUCUUCCGCCCCGCUCCCUUUUAAUCAUCUUUAAUAUCUCAGCAUGGAAGUCCUCAGCUUCCUUGCCCCCCGGGCCCCACUUCUUUUAGUCUGCUCUUAAAGCUGGAGGUCAUUUUUUUUUGACGUUUGUUGUAGUCAAGAGAAAGGUUUCUAGGAUGCAUGAGAUGCUUGCCUCGUACUAGGGUGUCUUUUAUGUGGGAACCAUGUUCCCGUAAUCUUGGUUCUGUCUAUGGUUCGUAGUCCCAUAUGAACGAGGAUGCUGUGUUCUCGGGAUUUUUAUCUGAUGCGAGAAAGGUCGUCAUUCUUUAUUUCGAAGCCACAUUAGAUUGAUUUUGUGUCCCGGUAAAAGUGCCCUACUUUAUUUUAUUGAAAGUGAGAGUAAAUUGAUUUAUUGUUUCAAAAUAAAUUUGCGUCCGUGUUUAAUGGAAAAUUUUACGAUUUCUUCGGAGAAAGUAGAAUUCCCCAUGUCCUUCGGGUAGUUGGAACUUAAAAAGAAUGUGCUUGGAUCUUCUAACAGCAAGUAAAUAUUUUUGGGCAUUGUUUUAAGGUUCUUGCUUCCUUUGGUAGAAAAUAAUUUUUUAUGGUGUUCCGGUCCUGAAUUAUUGCUCAGAAACUGAAAGCAUGUUUUGUAAAUCUUUUAAAAAAUAAAUGAGCUUGAUGAACAAGAAAAUUUCCCAUUCUUGAGAAAACAAAAAAUGUUCCCUGGUCCCCCGGGUAGCACCAACUGUGAGAAAAUGUGUCUUGAGCAUUUUGAUUCCUAGUAAAUAUGUUUAUGUGUGUCGCUUCGGCAGUGAAAGCUAUCGUGAUGGGCACCCUUUCUCUCUUAGACGUUGCAAUUGGAUUUUCUAGUAUUUGAUAACCAUUUACAAAAGAUAUGUAUGCUCGGUUUUUGGAACUUUCAGAUGUAGUUUAUUGGAGAAAUGUUGUUGGUAUGUGUUUUGAAGCUUCAUUCAUGAAAUAUAGUUGGUGAAGGAUCAUUGUGGGCCGGGUCUCUUGAGUAGAAAACAUUAUUUCUGCAGCCCUUGCAUGCACGAUGAAUGUUUUAUCUGAGAUUCUCGGUCCAAAAUGUAAGAGCUUCAAUUCCAUAUUAACUACAUUUCAGUCCCAAAAUACUAGGGAAGCCAAUAUUUCAUUUUGAAAGUUAAAGGGUGUUGAUGUGUGUUUUGAAGCUUCAUACAUGAAAUAUAGCCGGUGAAGGAUCACUGUUGGCCGGGUCUCUUGAGUAGAAAACAGUAUUUGUGCAGCCCCUGCAUUCACAAUGAAUGUUUUAUUUGAGAUUCUCGGUCCAAAAUGUAAGAGCUUCAAUUCCAUAGUAACUACCUUUUCAGUCCCAAAAUACCAGGAAAGCCAAUAUUUCAUUUUGAAAGUUAAAGGUUGCUGAUGUGUGUUUUGAAGCUUCAUUUAUGAAAUAUAGUUGGUGAAGGAUCAUUAUUGGCCGGGUCUCUUGAGUAGAAAACAUUAUUUCUGCAGCCCGUGCAUUCGAAAUGAAUGCUCUAUUUGAGAUUCUCGGUCCAAAAUGUAAGAGCUUCAAUUCCAUAUUAACUUACUUUCAGGCCACAAAAAUCUAGGACAGGCAAUAUUUCAUUUUGAACGUUAAAGGUUGUUGCUGUGUGUUUUGAAGCUUCAUUUAUGAAAUAUAGUUGGUGAAGGAUCAAAAUUGGCCGGGUCUCUUUGAGUAGAAAACAUUAUUUGUGCAGCCCUUGCAUUCACAAUGAAUGUUUUAUUUGAGAUUCUGGGUCCAAAAUGUAAGAGGUUCAAUUCCAUAUUAACUACCCUUUAGUCCUAGGAAAGGCAAUAUUUCAUUUUGAAAGUGGAAGUUUUUGUCGAUAUUUCAAAACAAACUUAUGUGCCUCGGUGCAUGAGAACGUGAAUCUUGAUUUUUUGUGGCAAAAUGAAACUGCUUGCAACCCUCAAGAUGUACAGCCUCAAAAAGAUGUGGCUUAAAAUCUCAAGCCAAAGUUUGGGUGCGUCGGUUUGAAAGUGAGAGUUUCUUUGAUCACGCACUUUCUUUUGGAGAGUUAGGCGACGUUUCACUUAGUGGUGGCAAUAUGCUCUCCCAAUCUAUUUUUAGCGCGGACAGAAAAAGUUUCGUGCUAGGUUAUGGGAAUCGUCAUUAUACGUGGAAGAGGUUGCCGUUCUUUAUUUUGAAGCCACAUCGAUAAUCUAGUUGCAGCGUUUUUCCUCUGUAGAGGUGCCCCGAUUCGAUAUUUUGAAACCGACACUGUAUUUACUGAUUCUUUUAAAAUAAGUGUGCCCCUCGGUAUUCAAGCAGAAGUUUCUCUGUUUUUUGGGGAAGAGUAAAAUUGCUCUGUUCUCUUGGUUGGUUGGAACAUAGAAAGCAAUAUGUUUGGAUCUUUUGAUUGCAAGUAAAUAUUUUUUCGGCACGUGGUUUUAAAGCUUUUUGGCUUUUGUUAAAGAAUAGUUUUUUUAAAAAAAUAUAUAUACAAAAGAAUAGUUUCCUGUUUUGGAAGUUUCCUGGUUUGGGAAGUAAAUGAGACUCAAUUUAUACUUUAAAACCUAAAAGCUGUUUUUAUGCAUUAUUUAUGGAUAAAUGUGUGACUUGAUGCACAAGAAAAUGAAUUUUGAUUUCUUGGGGCAAUGUAAAUCUGCUUGGGUCUCUCUCGCAGUUCCAAGUUUUAGAAAAACUUGCAUUGACAAAGAUUUGAGGAUAUUGUGACAGCACCACUUCUGACACGGUAACUUGCUUUCAAUAUUUAGUUUACGUAAGGCAUACGAGAUGUGUUUUGAAGGUUUUGAAACCCAUGGUCUGUUGCUGCGAAAAUAUAUCAUUCGGAGUCCCGUAUUCAGAAAGUAAAAGGCCUCGAUUAAUCUUUUCGAAAGCUAGCCUGUCCAUUUAUUUUUUGAAAACGAUUUUUUUUGUUGGUCCCCUGAGCAAAUGUUCCUCAAUUUUUUGGGGCAAUGUGAGAUUUUGCAAAAUGUCCCUUGGAUAAUUCUUUCUCUAGCAAAAUGUCCCUUGAUCUUUUAGUUGGAAGUAACUAUUCUUUGCUAUGUUGGUUUAAUUAAAGUUUCUCUUGAUCUUUUGCUUUCGAAAUAAAUCUGCAGGUGUCCCCACAGGGAAAUUGUAGCAGUUGGAAAAGUAAGUGGAGGUCAAGUAAUUUUUUUAGAAACUGAAGGCGUGUUCUAUCGAUUAUUUUGAAAGAUAAGUGUGCCUUGGUGCAAAAGAAAAUGACUUUGGAUUUGCUGCAGCAAAGCAAAACUUUUUUGAUGCCCUGGGUUUUCGGAACUCUAAAAGUUGUGGUUUGGACUCUUGAUUCAAAGUAAGUGUUUUUGAGAAUACGUUGGUUUAAAGGAAAAGUAACUCUGAUAACAAACACCCUUUCUCUUGGAGAGUUGGCAGCCUUUCUCUACGUAACUGGCAGUGUGCUUUCUCAAUCAUUUUAUUGCUACGGGCGUAAGACAUGAUUGCUCGGUUAAAGGAGAUAUUCAUUUUAUUUGAGAAAGGCCUUCGUUCUUGAUUUGGGAGCCAAUUUAAUGAACUUCAGUAAAAGUGGGCGAAUUCAUUGACUCGCAAAUGAGAGUGCUUUGGUUUAUUGUUUCAAAAUAAAUGUACUUUGACUCCUAGGCAACGGUUUUUUAAAUUUCUCGGGAAAAAGUAAAAUUCAACCCGUCGCUCGGCCAGUUGGAGCUCAAAAAAAGCAUGCAUGUAUGCUGAAUUUGUCUUGGUUCUAAUCAUUGUUCUAAUGUAGGUCUUCAAAAAAUUGACCGAGAAAACUAUUUGAGAGAACCAAACCUUCGAAGUCUAUCGGACCCAAAGUGUAGUAGUCUAACCAAACUUCAGACCUUGUGGGAUCUUUUCUCUGUUUUCCUUUUUUUUUUUAAAGCAAUAUCUGUGGUUAAAAGAGAUUGGUACGUUUAACAUGCAAGGCAACUACGGAGCCUGGCGUAACCGCGUCAAUAUUAUGUUGCUGACUUUUCUUUGCUGUAGGUACUUAGUGGGAAACUUGUUUAAGCGGAAAGAACGGAGUUUGUUCCAGUGGCUAUCUACACAAACAACGUGUGCUACGCGGAAUGUGAGUAUUAUGUUACCCUGGAUUGUCUUGAAAAUAUUUCUCUCGCUUUUACUUUGUUUAAGAAACAUUUGUAGUUGUACAAAAUUAACGUUUAGAACAUGCGAGACGGUUAAAAAGCUACAGAUAACAGGGUAUGCUCAUUUUGCCAGCCUUUCCUUGGUGCAGCAAAUUGGAGCGAGGGUGAAGCCUUCCUAAGUGUAGAGCUACAGAUUGAAGGUUUUUGGACCCUACUUUAUUUAAUUUAAUAGUGGAACUUAUCCUUCUUGGAAAAUAGUAAAAGAGGCAAUCGGACCUGCUUUGUUGUUGUUUACUAGAGACGUGUUACUGAAAGGAACAAAUGAGGUUUCUUCCCAUUGCUGGUUGUGCAGGUGACGAGUGCGGCUGCGUGGCUUCUGAGUGUGAUUUUACUCCGUGUACAUUAUCAGGGAAUGGAGUUUUUACUCUUACCGAGUUUUAUUUUAUAGGGUUGUCGUCCCCGUAUUUGUAUCUGCAAUUUGUGUAGUGUUGGAACGGAAGUUUAUGGCUUGAACUUCCAUUUUGGUGGAUAUUCAACUUGGGAAAUAAGUCAUUUAGCGUGGUCCAGUUCCAGUGGAGUUCAUAGCAACCAUGUUGGCUCUUAACAAGCGGACUGAUCCGUUGAAUUACUUGCAAAUUUUGUGCUUGACUAGGGAUCUUUUGUUGAUAAAUAGAUCUUCCUAAGUGUUGGUUUGUAGUUAAUUUGAUUUUUUACCCACAAGUAGUCUUGUUCUUUUUAUCUUCGGUAUUAAACCCCUUGUUUCCUUGGAGAAGCAGCUGUUUUUGUUUCUAUUCGUGUCGUUUUGUUUACUUAGGCUCCUGUACAGUUUGCAAUUUUUUUUUGGGGCUUCAAAUGAUGAUCCAAUGUAGUGGUAAUUCGUACUGUUUCUGUUGCAAAAUGAGGAGUCAGUAUUCUGCAUAUUAGCAAAUGAUUAUUUAUACUUUGUGAUGCUCUUGGAAGUCCUUUAACCAUGGCUUGAUCCUUGUUCGUGUCUCUCUGAUUUGUGGGCGCGGCUAAAUGAUAUCCUUGGUGCAGGUGAAGUUUGUGAUUGUUAUUUGAAGAGGUACCCAAUAUCUGGCCAUUCUUCGCUGUUGUUUUCUUUCUUGCUACAUGUCAUUUUCACAGGUGCAGCUAUUUUUAUUCCAUAUUCGUCUUAUUGUUGGGCAGUGAUGCGGAGAUUGUGGCGGGGGAAGUGAUGCGGAGGGUAAAGAGAAGGAAGCUGAGAAGGUUGGUGUGGAAUAUCAUCAUCAGCCAAAACCAGGUGAUUUUGUGGUUUCUGGCAACGAAAAUAAGCUCGGUGUGAAUAUUGGAUCAGAAUUGUUGGGCACCAGGUUGACAAAGGGGGUUCUGCCCCAGGGAGAUGUGAUUUGAAAAAUGAUGCAGAGGAGGAGUUCGUGGUUUGUGGGAAGAUGAGAAUUGUCAAGGACUGGGAAGGCCAGUUGUGGAGACUGGGAACUGUCCUUUUUGCUGAGGUUCUUGGCAGAACCCUAACCGGUGAAGCUGUACAGGUGCUUGGUGGAGCAGACAACUCGCCACGCACCCGUCUGUGUGGAUUUGUCAGAGAAGGAAUAGAAAUUGAAAGGAAAAUUUGUAAGUAUUAUUUACGAGGAUUAAGAGAAUAAAUAAUUUAAAAUUAGAUAACAGUUUAAAAAAUUUUAAUAGAAUAUAUUUGUAGAUAUAAAUUUUUUUUAAUAAUACGCGUAUUAUUUAAUAAAUUUUUUAGAAAAAAGAAUUAUUAAAAAUUGUAUUGUAAUUAAGAGUGUUUAUUUUAUUGUGGUUUUUUAUUAUAAUAUUUGUAUUUAGAAAAAAUAUUUUUGUCGUUGGGUGAGUAAAAUAUAAAAUGUUUUUGAUAAUAGUUAAAUUGAAAAUUUAUUUUUUUAUAAAUUUAAAAUAAAAAAUUACAAAAGUAACAUGAAUUUUUAUUAAAAAUAAAUGUUAUUAUUAUUGUAUAAAUAAUAACAUAUUUUCACAAUUAUUUAUAAAAAUAUUUUUAAUGGAAAACUCAGUAAGGCAAUAAAAAAAAUAUUAUCUUUUUAAUUUUCUCUCUCUGCCGCUCUUCAUCUUCGGUCUCUGGUUUUCCUUUUUUCUACCCGAGGUUCCGCGUGUUUAUAAAGCACGUAGGUUGCGUCGCGGAGACGCAGCUCAGCUCCUCUAUAAAAGUGCUGAGACUUUCUUUCCUCCUUCCGCCUCUGCUGUCUCCUGAUCCGGUAAGGUUUUCUUCUGAUUGCCCAUUAGAUCUGGUCCCGCUCCGAUCUUCUAGAGAUUGGAGGCGGUCUUCAUUCUCUCUGAACGGAAGAGUGCAGAAAAUAGGGCUCUUCUGCUUCCGAGUCUUCUCUCUUGUGGCGAUUUAGAGGUUGCGUCACGGAGACGCAGCUCAGCUCCUCUAUAAAAGCGCUGAGACUCUCUUUCCUCCUUCCGCCUCUGCCGUCUCCUGAUCCGGUAAGGUUUUCUUUUUGAUUGCCCAUUAGAUCUGGUCCCGCUCCGAUCUUCUAGAGAUUGGAGGCGGUCUUCAUUCUCUCUGAACAGAAGAGUGCAGAAAAUAGGGCUCUUCUACUUCGGAGUCUUCUCUUUUGCGGCGAUUUAGAGGUUGCGUCGCGGAGAGGCAGCUCAGCUCCUCUAUAAAAGCGCUGAGACUCUCUUUCCCCCUUCCGCCUCUUCUGUCUCCUGAUCCGGUAAGGUUUUCUUUCGAUUGCCCAUUAGAUCUGGUCCCGCUCCGAUCUUCUAGAGAUUGGAGGCGGUCUUCAUUUUUUCUGAACGGAAGAGUGCAGAAAUUGGGGCUCUUCUACUUCCGAGUCUUCUCUCUUGCGGCGAUUUAGAGGUUGCGUCACGGAGACGCAGCUCAGCUCCUCUAUAAAAGCGCUGAGACUCUCUUUCCUCCUUCCGCCUCUGCCGUCUCCUGAUCCGCUAAGGUUUUCUUUUUGAUUGCCCAUUAGAUCUGGUCCCGCUCCGAUCUUCUAGAGAUUGGAGGCGGUCUUCAUUCUCUCUGAACGGAAGAGUGCAGAAAAUAGGGCUCUUCUACUUCCGAGUCUUCUCUCUUGCGGCGAUUUAGAGGUUGCGUCACGGAGACGCAGCUCAGCUCCUCUAUAAAAGCGCUGAGACUCUCUUUCCUCCUUCCGCCUCUGCCGUCUCCUGAUCCGCUAAGGUUUUCUUUUUGAUUGCCCAUUAGAUCUGGUCCCGCUCCGAUCUUCUAGAGAUUGGAGGCGGUCUUCAUUCUCUCUGAACGGAAGAGUGCAGAAAAUGGGGCUCUUCUACUCCUGAGUCUUCUCUCUUGUGGCGAUUUAGGGUUUUCCUCAGCUUCUUCUAGGUUCUAAUCGGUGAAGAGAGACGGAAGAACAGAGUUGAAGAGGGUAGGUGAAAGGAAGAGACAAUAAUUUGUAAGAGGUAUGUAUGUGUUAAUUUCUCUUAUGGAUUUGUGAGGAAUGUAUGCCUAAACGAUAAAGAGUUCCACCCGGAAAGUUUUCUGUGUUGUUCACAGUUUUGUCACCGAAGCACUAAAAUAUUUUACAAAGAGGAAAAACUCUCUCAGUGUUACGUUUAUUACCCGUUAUUGUUGAUUUACUGUGCGAUGUUCGUGGGAGCUGUAUCGAUGUGUCUUGAUCCCUCUUGUUUUUCCCUGAUUUACAGGGACCACAGUCUGACAAUAUUGUAAUCCUCGUUGAGUAAGGGUAUGGAUUGCUGGUUCAAGAGGGUAUGCAAUAUCUGUUUACACUCACACCUCUUGGUGCGGGUUCAAGAGGUAUGCUUGCCUCGAACAUGUGGUUGAACGGUAUCUUGGCCCAUUUUGAUGCUUUGAAAUGUUUAAUUUAAAUUUUACUACAUCCCUUCAGGGGUCAUAAAAUGAAGGGUAAAUGCAAAAAUAAAACCAAAUAUAAGGUGGAGGUUUUUAGAUUUUCGACUGAAUCACAAUUGAGUUGUUGGGUUUAACAAAAUUAUAAUUCAAUUUAGCCAAGUGUGAUCGGCUGAAAAUGCUAAAUUACCCUCAGCCUGCUGUGUAAUUGUUUCAGUAUUACUCUGUUGGGCUCUUAUAAAGCAAUGGAUCCAAAUGUUGCACGAGCUGUUGAGUAAUUUCCAACUGGUUUUGGUGAUUCGCUUUUAUUAGUUGAGAUAAAAAAAUAAAACGAAUUAUUAAUUAUUAAUUUGGUUUCGGCAUUAUAAAAAAAAAUUGUAUUUGAAAAAUAUUUUUGUAGUUAGAUGAGCAAAAAAGAAAAAUGUUUUUGAUAAUAGUUAAAUUCAAAAUUUAAAAUAAAAAAUUACACUCAAUACAUUUUUACGGGUCUGCUAGAUUCAAAUAAUGUAUCGUUCUUAUUUCUCUCACGCUUUUUGGUUGUAUUUGAGCAAUAAUUUGUCAGAGGCAGCAAGCCAGAUCUGGAAAUAUGGCAAGUUUUUAGAAAUUGGUGCUGCGCGUUUAGUCAUCUUUAACCAACAAGUUCUUAUGCUGGUUUUCAGGUAAUUCUCUUUUGUUUCGCUCCCUUUCAAUCUUCUUUAAGAUCUCAGAAUGGAAGUCCCCAGCUUCCUAUCUCUUAGUCUCCUCUUAAACCUGAAGGUCAUUAUUUUUGGCCCGUCCAACAGUUCUGUUGCAGUCAAGAGAAAGGUUUCCAGGAUGCUUGAGAUGCUUGCCUCGUACAAGGGGGGGUGUACCAUGUGGGAACCGUGUUCCCAUAAUCUUGAUUCUGUCCGGUUCCAUCCAAAGUGCAUAAAGAAACCUAGUUCCCUCGCUGGAAACUGAUAAUAGUGCUCGGUAUUUUAUGUUUAUUACCAGUUAUUGUUAAUUUAUUGCGUGACUUUCAUGGGAGUUGUAUCAAUAUGUCUUGAUCCCUUUUCUUGUUCUUUGAUUUACCGGGACCAUAUUCUGAAAAUAUUGUAAUCGUCGCUCGGUAAGGGUAUGGAUUGCUGGUUCAAGAGGUUUGCAAUAUCUAUUUUCACUCGUAUCACUUGGUGCUGGAUUCAUAUGUUUUUCUUCUGUAUUAAAAAGUUACGUAUGUGUAUUAAUAUUGGUACCGAGGGGGCACUGCGCACUUACAAAAUUUUUACAAGUCGGCUGGAUUAAAAUAAUGUGACGUGCUUUGUUCGUCUCGGCGCUUUUUGCUUGUAUUUGAGCAAUCAUUUGUUAGAAGCAGCAGGCCAGAUCUGAAAAUAUGGCAAGUUUUUAGAAAUUGAUGCUGCGCCUUUUAGUUGCCAACACGUUCUUAUGUUGGUUUUCAGGUAAUUCUCUUUUGUUUCACUCCCUUUUAUUCGUCUUUAAGAUCUCGGAAUGGAAGUCCUCAGCUUCCUUGUCCCCCGCAUCUUUGAGUCUCAUCUUAAAGCUGAAGGUCAUUAUUUUUGGCCUGUCCAGCAGUUUUGUUGUGGUUGAGAGAAAGGUUUAAAGGAUGCAUGAGAUGCUUGCCUCGUACAAGGGUGUCUAUUAUGUGGGAACCGUGUUCCCAAAAUCUUGAUUCCGUCUGGUCCAUAGUCCCUGCAAAGUCAUUCCAUCCAAAGUGCAUAAAGAAACAUAGUUCCCACGUUGGAAACUAAUAGUGUUGUUCCGUACGACGUUUGUUACCAGUUUAUUUUUUGUUUGAUGUUCGCGGGAGUUGUAUCAGUAUGUCUUGAUCCCUUCUCUUGUUUUUUGAUUUACAGGGACCAUAUUCUGACAAUAUUAUAACGCUCGCUCGGUAAGGGUGUGGAUUGCUGGUUCGAGAGGUACGCGACAUCUCUAUUUACACUCGUAUCACUUGGUGCUGGAUUCAAAUAUUUCUCUUUGGAAGUAAAAGUUACGUAUUUGUUUAAUGUUGGUACCAAAGGGGUACUGCUGCGCAUUACAAAAAUUUCUACAAGUCUGCUAGAUUCAAAUAAUAUUUCUCUCACGCUUUUUGGUUGUAUUUGAGCAAUAAUUUGUCAGAGGCGGCAGGCCAGCCAGAUCGGGAAAUAUGGCAACUUUUUAGAAAUUGAUGCUGCGCGUUUACUUUACCAACAAGUUCUUAUGUUGGUUUUCAGGUAAUUCUCUUCCGCCCCGCUCCCUUUUAAUCAUCUUUAAUAUCUCAGCAUGGAAGUCCUCAGCUUCCUUGCCCCCCGGGCCCCACUUCUUUUAGUCUGCUCUUAAAGCUGGAGGUCAUUUUUUUUUGACGUUUGUUGUAGUCAAGAGAAAGGUUUCUAGGAUGCAUGAGAUGCUUGCCUCGUACUAGGGUGUCUUUUAUGUGGGAACCAUGUUCCCGUAAUCUUGGUUCUGUCUAUGGUUCGUAGUCCCAUAUGAACGAGGAUGCUGUGUUCUCGGGAUUUUUAUCUGAUGCGAGAAAGGUCGUCAUUCUUUAUUUCGAAGCCACAUUAGAUUGAUUUUGUGUCCCGGUAAAAGUGCCCUACUUUAUUUUAUUGAAAGUGAGAGUAAAUUGAUUUAUUGUUUCAAAAUAAAUUUGCGUCCGUGUUUAAUGGAAAAUUUUACGAUUUCUUCGGAGAAAGUAGAAUUCCCCAUGUCCUUCGGGUAGUUGGAACUUAAAAAGAAUGUGCUUGGAUCUUCUAACAGCAAGUAAAUAUUUUUGGGCAUUGUUUUAAGGUUCUUGCUUCCUUUGGUAGAAAAUAAUUUUUUAUGGUGUUCCGGUCCUGAAUUAUUGCUCAGAAACUGAAAGCAUGUUUUGUAAAUCUUUUAAAAAAUAAAUGCGCCUGAUGAACAAGAAAAUUUCCCAUUCUUGAGAAAACAAAAAAUGUUCCCUGUUCCCCCGGGUAGCACCAACUGUGAGAAAAUGUGUCUUGAGCAUUUUGAUUCCUAGUAAAUAUGUUUAUGUGUGUCGCUUCGGCAGUGAAAGCUAUCGUGAUGGGCACCCUAUCUCUCUUAGACGUUGCAAUUGGAUUUUCUAGUAUUUGAUAACCAUUUUACAAAAGAUAUGUAUGCUCGGUUUUGGGAACUUUCAGAUUUAGUUUAUUGGAGAAAUGUUGUUGGUAUGUGUUUUGAAGCUUCAUUCAUGAAAUAUAGUUGGUGAAGGAUCAUUGUGGGCCGGGUCUCUUGAGUAGAAAACAUUAUUUCUGCAGCCCUUGCAUGCACAAUGAAUGUUUUAUCUGAGAUUCUCGGUCCAAAAUGUAAGAGCUUCAAUUCCAUAUUAACUACAUUUCAGUCCCAAAAUACUAGGGAAGCCAAUAUUUCAUUUUGAAAGUUAAAGGGUGUUGAUAUGUGUUUUGAAGCUUCAUUCAUGAAAUAUAGCCGGUGAAGGAUCACUGUUGGCCGGGUCUCUUGAGUAGAAAACAGUAUUUGUGCAGCCCCUGCAUUCACAAUGAAUGUUUUAUUUGAGAUUCUCGGUCCAAAAUGUAAGAGCUUCAAUUCCAUAUUAACUACCUUUUCAGUCCCAAAAUACCAGGAAAGCCAAAAUUUCAUUUUGAAUGUUAAAGGUUGCUGAUAUGUGUUUUGAAGCUUCAUUUAUGAAAUAUAGUUGGUGAAGGAUCAUUAUUGGCCGGGUCUCUUGAGUAGAAAACAUUUUUUCUGCAGCCCGUGCAUUCGCAAUGAAUGCUCUAUUUGAGAUUCUCGGUCCAAAAUGUAAGAGCUUCAAUUCCAUAUUAACUUCCUUUCAGGCCACAAAAAUCUAGGACAGGCAAUAUUUCAUUUUGAACGUUAAAGGUUGUUGCUGUGUGUUUUGAAGCUUCAUUUAUGAAAUAUAGUUGGUGAAGGAUCAAAAUUGGCCGGGUCUCUUUGAGUAGAAAACAUUAUUUGUGCAGCCCUUGCAUUCACAAUGAAUGUUUUAUUUGAGAUUCUGGGUCCAAAAUGUAAGAGGUUCAAUUCCAUAUUAACUACCCUUUAGUCCUAGGAAAGGCAAUAUUUCAUUUUGAAAGUGGAAGUUUUUGUCGAUAUUUCAAAACAAACUUAUGUGCCUCGGUGCAUGAGAACGUGAAUCUUGAUUUUUUGUGGCAAAAUGAAACUGCUUGCAACCCUCAAGAUGUACAGCCUCAAAAAGAUGUGGCUUAAAAUCUCAAGCCAAAGUUUGGGUGCGUCGGUUUGAAAGUGAGAGUUUCUUUGAUCACGCACUUUCUUUUGGAGAGUUAGGCGACGUUUCACUUAGUGGUGGCAAUAUGCUCUCCCAAUCUAUUUUUAGCGCGGACAGAAAAAGUUUCGUGCUAGGUUAUGGGAAUCUUCAUUAUACGUGGAAGAGGUUGCCGUUCUUUAUUUUGAAGCCACAUCGAUAAUCUAGUUGCAGCGUUUUUCCUCUGUAGAGGUGCCCCGAUUCGAUAUUUUGAAACCGACACUGUAUUUACUGAUUCUUUUAAGAUAAGUGUGCCCCUCGGUAUUCAAGCAGAAGUUUCUCUGUUUUUUGGGGAAGAGUAAAAUUGCUCUGUUCUCUUGGUUGGUUGGAACAUAGAAAGCAAUAUGUUUGGAUCUUUUGAUUGCAAGUAAAUAUUUUUUCGGCACGUGGUUUUAAAGCUUUUUGGCUUUUGUUAAAGAAUAGUUUUUUUAAAAAAAUAUAUAUACAAAAGAAUAGUUUCCUGUUUUGGAAGUUUCCUGGUUUGGGAAGUAAAGGAGACUCAAUUUAUACUUUAAAACCUAAAAGCUGUUUUUAUGCAUUAUUUAUGGAUAAAUGUGUGACUUGAUGCACAAGAAAAUGAAUUUUGAUUUCUUGGGGCAAUGUAAAUCUGCUUGGGUCCCUCUCGCAGUUCCAAGUUUUAGAAAAACUUGCAUUGACAAAGAUUCGAGGAUAUUGUGACAGCACCACUUCUGACACGGUAACUUGCUUUCAAUAUUUAGUUUACGUAAGGCAUACGAGAUGUGUUUUGAAGGUUUUGAAACCCAUGGUCUGUUGCUGCGAAAAUAUAUCAUUCGGAGUCCCGUAUUCAGAAAGUAAAAGGCCUCGAUUAAUCUUUUCGAAAGCUAGCCUGUCCAUUUAUUUUUUGAAAACGAUUUUUUUUGUUGGUCCCCUGAGCAAAUGUUCCUCAAUUUUUUGGGGCAAUGUGAGAUUUUGCAAAAUGUCCCUUGGAUAAUUCUUUCUCUAGCAAAAUGUCCCUUGAUCUUUUAGUUGGAAGUAACUAUUCUUUGCUAUGUUGGUUUAAUUAAAGUUUCUCUUGAUCUUUUGCUUUCGAAAUAAAUCUGCAGGUGUCCCCACAGGGAAAUUGUAGCAGUUGGAAAAGUAAGUGGAGGUCAAGUAAUUUUUUUAGAAACUGAAGGCGUGUUCUAUCGAUUAUUUUGAAAGAUAAGUGUGCCUUGGUGCAAAAGAAAAUGACUUUGGAUUUGCUGCAGCAAAGCAAAACUUUUUUGAUGCCCUGGGUUUUCGGAACUCUAAAAGUUGUGGUUUGGACUCUUGAUUCAAAGUAAGUGUUUUUGAGAAUACGUUGGUUUAAAGGAAAAGUAACUCUGAUAACAAACACCCUUUCUCUUGGAGAGUUGGCAGCCUUUCUCUACGUAACUGGCAGUGUGCUUUCUCAAUCAUUUUAUUGCUACGGGCGUAAGACAUGAUUGCUCGGUUAAAGGAGAUAUUCAUUUUAUUUGAGAAAGGCCUUCGUUCUUGAUUUGGGAGCCAAUUUAAUGAACUUCAGUAAAAGUGGGCGAAUUCAUUGACUCGCAAAUGAGAGUGCUUUGGUUUAUUGUUUCAAAAUAAAUGUACUUUGACUCCUAGGCAACGGUUUUUUAAAUUUCUCGGGAAAAAGUAAAAUUCAUCCUCGCUCGGCCAGUUGGAGCUCAAAAAAAGCAUGCAUGUAUGCUGAAUUUGUCUUGGUUCUAAUCAUUGUUCUAAUGUAGGUCUUCAAAAAAUUGACCGAGAAAACUAUUUGAGAGAACCAAACCUUCGAAGUCUAUCGGACCCAAAGUGUAGUAGUCUAACCAAACUUCAGACCUUGUGGGAUCUUUUCUCUGUUUUCUUUUUUUUUUUUAAAGCAAUAUCUGUGGUUAAAAGAGAUUGGUACGUUUAACAUGCAAGGCAACUACGGAGCCUGGCGUAACCGCGUCAAUAUUAUGUUGCUGACUUUUCUUUGCUGUAGGUACUUAGUGGGAAACUUGCUUAAGCGGAAAGAACGGAGUUUGUUCCAGUGGCUAUCUACACGAACAACGUGUGCUACGCGGAAUGUGAGUAUUAUGUUACCCUGGAUUGUCUUGAAAAUAUUUCUCUCGAUUUUACUUUGUUUAAGAAACAUUUGUAGAUGUACAAAAUUAACGUUUAGAACAUGCGAGACGGUUAAAAAGCUACAGAUAACAGGGUAUGCUCAUUUUGCCAGCCUUUCCUUGGUGCAGCAAAUUGGAGCGAGGGUGAAGCCUUCCUAAGUGUAGAGCUACAGAUUGAAGGUUUUUGGACCCUACUUUAUUUAAUUUAAUAGUGGAACUUAUCCUUCUUGGAAAAUAGUAAAAGAGGCAAUCGGACCUGCUUUGUUGUUGUUUACUAGAGACGUGUUGCUGAAAGGAACAAAUGAGGUUUCUUCCCGUUGCUGGUUGUGCAGGUGACGAGUGCGGCUGCGUGGCUUCUGAGUGUGAUUUUACUCCGUGUACAUUAUCAGGGAAUGGAGUUUUUACUCUUACCGAGUUUUAUUUUAUAGGGUUGUCGUCCCCGUAUUUGUAUCUGCAAUUUGUGUAGUGUUGGAACGGAGGUUUAUGGCUUGAACUUCCAUUUUGGUGNNNNNNNNNNNNNNNNNNNNNNNNNNNNNNNNNNNNNNNNNNNNNNNNNNNNNNNNNNNNNNNNNNNNNNNNNNNNNNNNNNNNNNNNNNNNNNNNNNNNNNNNNNNNNNNNNNNNNNNNNNNNNNNNNNNNNNNNNNNNNNNNNNNNNNNNNNNNNNNNNNNNNNNNNNNNNNNNNNNNNNNNNNNNNNNNNNNNNNNNNNNNNNNNNNNNNNNNNNNNNNNNNNNNNNNNNNNNNNNNNNNNNNNNNNNNNNNNNNNNNNNNNNNNNNNNNNNNNNNNNNNNNNNNNNNNNNNNNNNNNNNNNNNNNNNNNNNNNNNNNNNNNNNNNNNNNNNNNNNNNNNNNNNNNNNNNNNNNNNNNNNNNNNNNNNNNNNNNNNNNNNNNNNNNNNNNNNNNNNNNNNNNNNNNNNNNNNNNNNNNNNNNNNNNNNNNNNNNNNNNNNNNNNNNNNNNNNNNNNNNNNNNNNNNNNNNNNNNNNNNNNNNNNNNNNNNNNNNNNNNNNNNNNNNNNNNNNNNNNNNNNNNNNNNNNNNNNNNNNNNNNNNNNNNNNNNNNNNNNNNNNNNNNNNNNNNNNNNNNNNNNNNNNNUUUAAUAAUCCAUUGGUCAAGGUCGGUAAGGGAAAUUCAACCGUAGAGAUGUGUGGAAAAGUGUAUCGCAUAGCUCCAGUUACUCUUACUCAACAGCAGCAAGCUUUCCAUCAGAAAAGGAGAUCUAGAGCAUACCAGUGGAAGGGACCAACUGUGUUCCUUAAGGACGCGGAUUCCAUACCUCCUGAUGUAGACCCCAAUACAACCAGAUGGAUUCCAGCCAAUCAUUUUUUUGCAACCACUGCAGCUGACAUUGAUUAGACCUGGCACAAAACAAUAUGUAUCAGGAGCAUGGUGUUCCAUUUCGUAUUCAGGCUGAGCAUGAGGCAGUAGAGAGGAAGCUUGAAGCGGCUUGAAUGGCAUGCAUGGUAACAGAGAGUAACUUUUCACUAUAAAAUGCCCUAAAUAACCAUAUAUAUUCUUCACUGAAGUUGCAUCCUUACCGAUCAACUUACAGUAAAUCCUGUAGAAGGUCGGAAGCCUAACCCAUAAUGAACUAAUAGUGAAAGCACCAGCGGGCUAGUCAGUUUGGGCAUAAACCUAAAAUUGAGUUUCUCUACUUGCAUUAUCUCUUAUCAAAAUAUUAAUCCUGUAGUUUCAGGUGCUAAAGAUACUUGCAAUUAUGGAAGUAGAAAUCAUACUGGUAAACCUAUGAUGCGUCCUUGACUUUCGAUUCUAAGGCCUUGUUUUACCAGGACGGAUUUGAACCUUUCUUUGUUUUUUUUUUUUUUUU
rnacentral:lncRNA from 1 species